rnacentral:rRNA from 1 species
UGGGGAAUAUUGCACAAUGGAGGAAACUCUGAUGCAGCGACGCCGCGUGAGUGAAGAAGGUCUUCGGAUCGUAAAACUCUGUCCUUGGUGACGAAAAAAAUGACGGUAGCCAAGGAGGAAGCCCCGGCUAACUACGUGCCAGCAGCCGCGGUAAUACGUAGGGGGCGAGCGUUGUCCGGAUUUACUGGGCGUAAAGGGUGAGUAGGCGGUAAUAUGUGUCAGAUGUAAAAGGCUAUGGCUUAACCAUAGUUAGCAUUUGAAACUGUAUUACUGGAGUGCAGGAGAGGUCAGUGGAAUUCCUAGUGUAGCGGUGAAAUGCGUAGAUAUUAGGAGGAACACCAGUGGCGAAGGCGACUUACUGGACUGUAACUGACGCUGAGUCACGAAAGCGUGGGUAGCAAACA